rnacentral:rRNA from 1 species
CGUAUAUUAAAGUUGUUGCAGUUAAAAAGCUCGUAGUUGGAUUUGUGGCGUACGGUGUGUUCCGGGCACUUGUUGUCUGAGUAACCUGCUGUUGCCAUCCUUGGGUGGAACUGUGUGGCAUUAGGUUGUCGUGCAGGGGAUGCCCAUCUUUUACUGUGAAAAAAUUAGAGUGUUCAAAGCAGGCUUAUGCCGUUGAAUAUAUUAGCAUGGAAUAAUGAGAUAGGACUUUUUUACUAUUUUGUUGGUUUGCGUAAAGAGGUAAUGAUUAAUAGGGACAGUUGGGGG